rnacentral:lncRNA from 1 species
AUGACUCAUCCUCAUCUUAUUCAUGAAACCAGGGGCUGGGAAGGAAGCGCCCCUGGCCUUGCGCCACCGCAGCACUUCCUGCAGGGGUCAGCCGCUCACGGCUCUGCCGCCCACUUUCCCGCCUCUCCCGAGAGCUCCCUGCACCUGCUCCGCCUGUUCCCGGGCUCCCGGGGCCGCCCUGGGCAGAUCCGGGAGCCAACAGAUGGGCCGUGUGAUGAGCCGGAAGCAGCCUCAGCCUCUGGGGGAGAACGUGACACACACAGGAGCGCAUGGGAAAACAAGGAAAAUGAAACCAUCAGUGCCGGCGACAGGCUGCUGACCGGGCGGGAGAGAGCGCGUGGAGCGCCAGGGCUGUGGCUCCCGUCUGUGCCCUCCCCACGGGGGCCAGGCCACGGGCACGCCCUCGGGCAGCUCCCUCUGCCGGGCGCUGCACGGGGACUUCCUCCAGGGCUGGCCCAGGGCUGGCGGGAUCCCUGGACCUGGUUCUCAGACGGGCUCCUCUCGGCGAGCGUGGAAGGGAAGGCGGCCCUCGGCGGCAGCGACGUGGGCCUCAGCUCGCCCGGCUGGAUGCGUCUCAUCUGUGCACGCGCGCGGCUCACUGCUCACAGCUGCGGGGGCCAUGGGGGCGUUGUCACCACUUCAAGGAGGACACUGAGACUUGGGAGACUCCGGCUGUGCCUGGGCUCGCGGCCAGGAGCCAGGAGUGGGAUCCAGCGCCGCCCGCCUCCUCCUGCUGCCUCCACACUGGAUCCUACUGGCCCCAGGGUGUGGGCACAGCUUAGCCGGCCGCCUCUCGAGCCAUGAGUCCCCUUACAGGGGUGCACAGGCCACGUGUCCACGCAAGCCCCAGGUUCUGUGGCCUCACCACGCACGCACAAACACCAGCCUUGGGUGCUGACGGCAGGAGGCAGUGCACCUGCUCCUGGGGCUUCCCCAGGGGGAAUGGCUGGCCACCACUGACGUGGCUAAAGCGGUGUGACUGCUUGGCUGAGCUGUGGAGCCCAGAUAUCUGGUUCAACCUUUUUUUUAUUCCAGUUUGUUUGUUUGUUUUUUUUUUUUUUUUU